rnacentral:rRNA from 1 species
CGCCGCCUACGGGGCGCAGCAGUAGGGAAUCUUCCACAAUGGACGAAAGUCUGAUGGAGCAACGCCGCGUGAGUGAAGAAGGGUUUCGGCUCGUAAAGCUCUGUUGGUAGUGAAGAAAGAUAGAGGUAGUAACUGGCCUUUAUUUGACGGUAAUUACUUAGAAAGUCACGGCUAACUACGUGCCAGCAGCCGCGGUAAUACGUAGGUGGCAAGCGUUAUCCGGAAUUAUUGGGCGUAAAGAGGG